GAUGAACGCUGGCGGCGUGCCUAAUACAUGCAAGUCGAGCGAACGGACGAGAAGCUUGCUUCUCUGAUGUUAGCGGCGGACGGGUGAGUAACACGUGGAUAACCUACCUAUAAGACUGGGAUAACUUCGGGAAACCGGAGCUAAUACCGGAUGAUAUUUUGAACCGCAUGGUUCAAAAGUGAAAGACGGUCUUGCUGUCACUUAUAGAUGGAUCCGCGCUGCAUUAGCUAGUUGGUAAGGUAACGGCUUACCAAGGCAACGAUGCAUAGCCGACCUGAGAGGGUGAGCGGCGACACUGGGAGAGAGAAACAGUACACACACUUGGGGGGGGGAGCGGUGGAGAAUCUUCCGCGAUGGGGGAGAGCGGGACAGAGCACAACGGCGUGAGUGAUGAAGGUCUUCGGAUCGUAAAACUCUGUUAUUAGGGAAGAACAUAUGUGUAAGUAACUGUGCACAUCUUGACGGUACCUAAUCAGAAAGCCACGGCUAACUACGUG
rnacentral:rRNA from 1 species